AGCUUUGCGCAGUGGCGAUAUCGUAACCAAUGAGGUACAACCGAGGUGCGAUUAUUGCUAGUUGAAAACUAAAAACUAAUGGUAAUUUACCAGUCCUCACAGUCCACACGCAUUAUUUUCAAGCACAUCGUAGGUCAAUCUUCACUUAUUUUUCAAUUCUGUCAAUCAACAA
rnacentral:snRNA from 1 species